AUGAACGCUAGCUACAGGCUUAACACAUGCAAGUCGAGGGGCAUCAGGAAGAAAGCUUGCUUUCUUUGCUGGCGACCGGCGCACGGGUGAGUAACACGUAUCCAACCUGCCCUUUACUCGGGGAUAGCCUUUCGAAAGAAAGAUUAAUACCCGAUGGCAUAAUGAUUCCGCAUGGUUUCAUUAUUAAAGGAUUCCGGUAAAGGAUGGGGAUGCGUUCCAUUAGGUUGUUGGUGGGGUAACGGCCCACCAAGCCUUCGAUGGAUAGGGGUUCUGAGAGGAAGGUCCCCCACAUUGGAACUGAGACACGGUCCAAACUCCUACGGGAGGCAGCAGUGAGGAAUAUUGGUCAAUGGGCGCUAGCCUGAACCAGCCAAGUAGCGUGAAGGAUGAAGGCUCUAUGGGUCGUAAACUUCUUUUAUAUAAGAAUAAAGUGCAGUAUGUAUACUGUUUUGUAUGUAUUAUAUGAAUAAGGAUCGGCUAACUCCGUGCCAGCAGCCGCGGUAAUACGGAGGAUCCGAGCGUUAUCCGGAUUUAUUGGGUUUAAAGGGAGCGUAGGUGGACUGGUAAGUCAGUUGUGAAAGUUUGCGGCUCAACCGUAAAAUUGCAGUUGAUACUGUCAGUCUUGAGUACAGUAGAGGUGGGCGGAAUUCGUGGUGUAGCGGUGAAAUGCUUAGAUAUCACGAAGAACUCCGAUUGCGAAGGCAGCUCACUGGACUGCAACUGACACUGAUGCUCGAAAGUGUGGGUAUCAAACAGGAUUAGAUACCCUGGUAGUCCACACAGUAAACGAUGAAUACUCGCUGUUUGCGAUAUACGGCAAGCGGCCAAGCGAAAGCAUUAAGUAUUCCACCUGGGGAGUACGCCGGCAACGGUGAAACUCAAAGGAAUUGACGGGGGCCCGCACAAGCGGAGGAACAUGUGGUUUAAUUCGAUGAUACGCGAGGAACCUUACCCGGGCUUAAAUUGCAGUGGAAUGAUGUGGAAACAUGUCAGUGAGCAAUCACCGCUGUGAAGGUGCUGCAUGGUUGUCGUCAGCUCGUGCCGUGAGGUGUCGGCUUAAGUGCCAUAACGAGCGCAACCCUUAUCUUUAGUUACUAACAGGUUAUGCUGAGGACUCUAGAGAGACUGCCGUCGUAAGAUGUGAGGAAGGUGGGGAUGACGUCAAAUCAGCACGGCCCUUACGUCCGGGGCUACACACGUGUUACAAUGGGGGGUACAGAAGGCAGCUAGCGGGUGACCGUAUGCUAAUCCCAAAAGCCUCUCUCAGUUCGGAUCGAAGUCUGCAACCCGACUUCGUGAAGCUGGAUUCGCUAGUAAUCGCGCAUCAGCCACGGCGCGGUGAAUACGUUCCCGGGCCUUGUACACACCGCCCGUCAAGCCAUGGGAGCCGGGGGUACCUGAAGUACGUAACCGCAAGGAUCGUCCUAGGGUAAAACUGGUGACUGGGGCU
rnacentral:rRNA from 1 species